rnacentral:tRNA from 1 species
GCCUUUGUGGUGUAGUGGUCAGCAUGCUCGACGCGUAACCAAAAGGUCCGUGGUUCGAUUCCCAGCGAGGGCA